rnacentral:rRNA from 1 species
CGGAGCAUCCGCGGUACAGUGGCGCACGGGUGAGUAACACGUGGAUGACCUUCCCUGGAGUGGUGGAUAACCUGCCGAAAGGCGGGCUAAUACAGCAUAGGACCACGACGCUUUGGCGAUGUGGUGAAAGCGGGCUUCUGUUUACAUGCUCGCGCUCCGGGACGGGUCCGCGUCCCAUCAGCUAGUUGGUGAGGUAACGGCUCGCCAAGGCAACGACGGGUAGCUGGUCUGAGAGGAUGGCCAGCCACACUGGAACUGAGACACGGACCAGACUCCUACGGGAGGCAGCAGUGAGGAAUAUUGGGCAAUGGGCGGAAGCCUGACCCAGCCAUCCCGCGUGCAGGACGAAGGCCUUAUGGGUUGUAAACUGCUUUUCUGCGGGGAGAAUCCCCCGGCUUCUGCCGGGGUUGACGGUACCGCAGGAAUAAGCAUCGGCUAACUCCGUGCCAGCAGCCGCGGUAAUACGGAGGAUGCGAGCGUUAUCCGGAUUCAUUGGGUUUAAAGGGUGCGCAGGCGGCGCGGCGAGUCAGUGGUGAAAUCCUGCCGCUCAACGGUAGGGCUGCCAUUGAUACUGCCGUGCUUGAGUCCGGUUGAGGCAGGCGGAAUGUGCAGUGUAGCGGUGAAAUGCAUAGAUAUUGCACAGAACGCCGAUUGCGGAGGCAGCUUGCCAAGCCGGGACUGACGCUGAGGCACGAAAGCGUGGGUAGCGAACAGGAUUAGAUACCCUGGUAGUCCACGCCGUAAACGAUGCUCACUCGCUGUUUGCGAUAGACAGCAAGCGGCUGAGCGAAAGCAAUAAGU